UAGGGUUUGAUCAUGGCUCAGAUUGAACGCUGGCGGCACGCCUAACACAUGCAAGUCGAACGGCAGCGCGGAGAGCUUGCUCUCUGGCGGCGAGUGGCGAACGGGUGAGUAACGCGUAGGGAUCUGCCCCAAAGCCUGGGAUAACUCGGGGAAACUCGAGCUAAUACCGGAUGUGUUCUGAGGAAUAAAGCUGGCCUUGGCUGGCACUUUGGGAGGAACCUGCGUCAGAUUAGCUUGUUGGUGAGGUAAAGGCUCACCAAGGCUUCGAUCUGUAACUGGUCUGAGAGGACGAACAGUCACACUGGGACUGAGACACGGCCCAGACUCCUACGGGAGGCAGCAGUGGGGAAUAUUGGACAAUGGGGGCAACCCUGAUCCAGCGAUGCCGCGUGUGUGAAGAAGGCCUGCGGGUUGUAAAGCACUUUCGGCGGGGAGGAGAGAUUACCGUUUAAGAGAUGGUAGUUGAGACGUUACCCGCAAAAGAAGCACCGGCUAACUCUGUGCCAGCAGCCGCGGUAAGACAGAGGGUGCAAGCGUUAAUCGGACUUACUGGGCGUAAAGGGCGCGUAGGUGGAUAAAUAAGUUUGAUGUGAAAUCUCAGGGCUCAACCGUGAGGGGAGGUCGAAAACUGUUUAUCUUGAGUGCAAGAGAGGUCAGCGGAAUUUCCGGUGUAGCGGUGAAAUGCGUAGAUAUCGGAAGGAACACUCGUGGCGAAGGCGGCUGACUGGCUUGUAACU
rnacentral:rRNA from 1 species